rnacentral:rRNA from 1 species
ACUCCUACGGGAGGCAGCAGUGGGGAAUAUUGCACAAUGGGGGAAACCCUGAUGCAGCCAUGCCGCGUGUGUGAAGAAGGCCUUCGGUUGUAAAGCACUUUCUAGUAGGGAGGGAAGGUAAGUGUAGUUAACACCUGCAUUAUUUUGUACGUUACCUACAGAAGAAGCACCGGCUAACUCCGUGCCAGCAGCCGCGGUAAUACGGAGGGUGCGAGCGUUAAUCGGAAUUACUGGGCGUAAAGCGCAUGCAGGCGGCCUGUUAAGUCAGAUGUGAAAGCCCGGGGCGUUAACCUCGGAAUUGCAUUUGUAAACUGGCAGGCUAGAGUCUUGUAGAGGGGGGUAGGAAUUUCAGGUGUAGCGGUG